rnacentral:rRNA from 1 species
GACGAACCGUGCGAACGUUGUUCGGAUUCACUGGGCUUAAAGGGCGCGUAGGCGGGCAUUCAAGUCAGGGGUGAAAGCCCCCGGCCCAACCGGGGAAGUGCCUCUGAGACUGAGUGUCUCGAGGGGGGUAGGGGCAGUUGGAACUCUCGGUGGAGCGGUGAAAUGCGUAGAUAUCGGGAGGAACGCCGGUGGCGAAAGCGGGCUGCUGGACCCCUUCUGACGCUGAGGCGCGAAAGCCAGGGGAGCGAACGGG